rnacentral:lncRNA from 1 species
GAGGAAGGCGGGUCCCUGGCUCGGCUCUACCCCCAUGGAUCUAGGUGGGCUCAAUGUCAUCACAAGGGUGCUUAAGAGGGAAAGAGGAAGCCAUGAGGGUCAGAGUCAAAGGAAGACUUGAAGAUACUACACUGCGGACUUUAAAGAUGAAGGAAGGGGCGAAAACCAAGAAUGUGGGAAGCCUCUAGAAGCUAGAGAAGGCAAGGAAACAAAUUUUCCACUAGAGCCUCCAGAAGGAACACAGCCCUGCUGACCCACUGUAAUGUCUGACCUCUAGAUGUGUAAGGGUAGUAAGACUGAAAGUCUCAGAAAGGCACUGUUAAAUUCUUAUUCCUCAACUAUGCAACUCAAAACUGGGGUCCUCAGCAGUGAGCGAGGGGUGAGAGAAGACACUGUAUAAACAUGGCACAUCCUCCUGGAAAGUCAACUUUACUCAAAGCUUUAGAAACCCAGCUCAAACUAGCUGAAGCAGAAAAGACAUUACUGCGCCUAUAAGUUGAAACUUUGGAGGGA